rnacentral:rRNA from 1 species
AUUGAACGCUGGCGGCAGGCCUAACACAUGCAAGUCGAGCGAGCGGCGGACGGGUGAGUAAUGUAUGGGGACUGCCCGAUAGAGGGGGAUAACUACUGGAAACGGUGGCUAAUACCGCAUACUAUCGGAUAACCCAUAUGGGAUUAGCUAGUGGGGGGGGUAAAGGCUCACCUAGGGGAGGAUCUCUCGCUGGUCUGAGAGGUUGAUCGGCCACACGGGGACGGAGACAGGGCCCAACCUCCUACGGGGGCAGCGGUGGGGAACUUUGCACAAUGAGCGCAAGCCUGAUGCAGCCAGGCCGCGGGUAUGAAGAAGGCCUUAGGGUUGUAAAGUACUUUCAGCGGGGAGACGGUACCGACAGAGAAAGCACCGGCUAACUCCGUGCCAGCAGCCGCGGUAAUAC